UACGAGUGCUUCGAGCGUUAUCCGGAAUCAUUGGGCGUAAAGGGUGUGUAGGUGGCGAUGUUAGUCUCGCGUUAAAUCUUUCGGCUCAACCGAGAGGCUGCGUGGGAAACGGCAUUGCUUGAGGACGGGAGAGGUUUCUGGAACUCUAAGUGUAGCGGUGAAAUGCGUUGAUAUUUAGGGGAACACCAAAAGCGAAGGCAAGAAACUGGCCCGCUCCUGACACUGAAACACGAAAGCGUGGGUCGCGAAUGGG
rnacentral:rRNA from 1 species